UGAUCGUGGGAUACUUUUCUAUCCCACAAUCCCAUGGGAGAGGAUACGUUAACCAAGAAGAAGAGAGGAUGCGUCUAGUCUGCCGCCAACAGCCGCAAAUCCUUAAGAAGAAGAAGAAGAGGAGGAGGAUACGUCAUAAUCGAACAUCAAGAAGAACGAGGAUGUUUUCAAAUGGACAGAUGAGCACACACAUGUGCUUAUCCGGUGGAGAGUGGCUAAUGAGGCCCUCUUCACCGGAAAACGAAAUGCAGCCAUUAAAGGCUUUGAAGCUUUUGUGAUGGAGCAGGGCUUGCAAGACAGGGUGAUGGCGGCCUUUGUAAAAAAAAUGUGAAAACCUGAAACAAAAAUAUAAAGAUCUCAAAUGUCCGGCAACCAGUGUGAGCACUGAGGAUGGAGAGCCCACAGCAGCAUCUUGGAAGUGGUAAAGGGCCAUGGAGGAGGCAAUUGGGU